AUGUACUCGCUCAGGCUCGCUACCAGCGGCAGCACAGCACUCGGCUUCACGCUCGGCCGGUUCGGCGGGAAGACAGGCGGCGGCGCCGCAGCAGGAGGACUAGCGGCACCCGCAGCCGCGGCGCACGCAGGGAGGAGGAGCGUCUCCGCGACGUCGAACGCCGCCGCGCCGGUGCCGGGCGACCAGGGCGUCGGCAUGGACCCGAGCAAGCAGCAGCAGCAGCACAAGCCCCACGCGCCGGCGGGGGAGCAGCAGGGCGACGACGUGCACAAGACCACUACUGCUCACGGAGACGUGAUGACCCACUCGUUCGGCGAGGGGUACUCGACGAGGUCCGACGAGGAGGGGUUCGGAGGGGUCUACGGCCAGAACGACCCGGUGCUCAACCCUGGGACCGAAGUGCACCCCGACCGUCCUGAGUAUGACAAGUCGCAGGGAUCGGAGGUGAAGGAGAAGGAGAAGGCGCGCCAUCUCAAGAACGACAAGCACGCGACCUGA
rnacentral:rRNA from 1 species